GUCGAGCUGCCGAGAAAGCCCCGGGGGACUUUGCUCAGCGGGACCCUGGAACUCUUCUGCUAGAGUAACCGAGAGCUACGGGCUGCGGGGCUGGAGGAGCUGAGCUGACGAUCCGCACGUUGGCGGUGACCGGGUCUCCGCACACAAAGGCCACUCCACCUGGGUGACCACCACCACGUCUUGAGUCCCGAAGUGGCGGCGAGGCGCGAUCGGAGAGGUAUUUGCUGAGCACCUGGUAUGUUCAGGAUACCGAUAAAGAAGUGUGUGUGAGAUGGUGUAGAAAGUCAUGAACCUUUAUACGAGACUGUAGAAGAAGCAGGUCAUCUGAUGGCAGGACUGCUAGGGAAGUAAAGUAUGAAGAAUGCACGUGUGUCUCCAAAGGCAAACUGGCCACAUGUCGUCUCUGCGAUGGCCAGAGGUGAUGGCCUGGAAGAGCUGUGGCCAGUGAGGAGGGACCAGACUCCUUGGAAGAUGAAGGCCACUGCAGAGUGCACACUCCACUCAGAUCAGGUUGUUGACCUCUUUUUCUUCUUUUCAUGAUGUCCACCCAUUCCUAUGCAUGCCACAUGUAGCGUCACCACCAUACCAUCUCCGGCUUGCUCUCCAGGAAGAAUACGUGGAAGAUGACGUUUGAUUCUUCCUGCUGGCUGCUGACCCUAGAGAGACAUCAUGGACAACAUGGACACUCACUUCAACAUGAGGCUACUGAGACGUGU